UUUGAACCAAUAAUGGAGAAGAGUAGGUCAGAUUGCAUGAUUAGAGAGGAACCCGCCCCAGGCUGAAAGCGGAUCCCAUUGCGUCUUUCUCGAAACAACACUCCGGAGGUUUCCUGCUGAACGCGUGAAUAACGCCAUUAGGCAGUGAACGUGAACCUGCGUUAAAGGAUCGAGCGGGAAUAUGAACGUAUUCCAACUAGGGUGGCACCACGGGUAUAACUCUCGUCCCUACU
rnacentral:ncRNA from 2 species